GGAUAGUUGGCUGAGUUGGUCUAAGGCACCUGGUUGCUAACCAGACGAGUCGCAAGGCUCCAUCCGUUCGAAUCGGAUACUAUCCGCCA
rnacentral:tRNA from 1 species